rfam:Cavia porcellus supercont2_15 genomic scaffold, whole genome shotgun sequence.
AGCUUUGAGCAGUGCAUUAUUGUAGCCAAUGAGGUUUAUCCAAGGCAUGAUAAUUGCUAAUUGAAAACUAGGCACACAAUCAUUAUGGAUUUCUUUUUAAGAUUCCUUUUAAAAGUAAAAUAGUAGCUCAGAGGUAAAAUGCU